AAAAUCCUCCCCAGCUGGUUUAAUUCCCGCCCGGGUUUCACAAACAAGGAAGCGGAGGUUAACAGCGCGCAUGAGGUGACGCCAGGUCAAGAGAAGCAGAAACCGGGACGGCCCCCGCGUCCCCGCCUCUGUCCUCUACGCCACCGCCUCGGCCGGGACCCCCCCCCCCCCCCCCCCCCCCCCCUCCCCGGCCCAGCUCCGCUUUCCUGGACUCUGCCGGCUGCUCCGGAUCCAGCAGAGUCUAUUCCAAUGUCUGUUGAAUAAGAGUAAGAAGAUAAGAUUCAAAGUAAUUCCCCAGGAAUCUUCAGAUUCUAUCCGCUGUGAGACACUACCAGGUAUUCAAGGAUGGUUGGCUGCCUUUCAUUCCUCUGAACUCCGUCCUUCCUUGGCAUGAUGGAGAAGGAAGAGGAACUCAAGACCCACCUAGUGCAGCAUCUUACAUCUAAUGAGCCUACCUAAAGAUUUGUCAAGUUUUGACGUGUGUGACUGAGCCAUGGAGUUGUCUAGUGGCUAGCAUUCUAGAUGGGGAAACUAGGGCACAGGGAGAGGUGAAUGUCUUGUGAAGAUCCAAUGGCUAACGGGGCAGAGGUGUGAUUCAAGUCAACCGUUUGACUCUAGGACCCCAUCUUUACCUCCACACUCUUACUUUCCCAGACUGUGAGUCCAGUGAAAAGAAAUUAUCAGAAUAUCAAAACAAAGACAAUAAAACAAAACCUCACCUCAUAGAUCUCAGUAUAUAAUUUUUCUCUUUUUAGAACUAUCUGAGGAAUAUGUCAUUUCCAGCUUGGAGUAAGAAAUGGUACAAUAAUUUUACCACCUAAUUUUACUCCCUAGCUGGUUCCAAGAUAUUAAUAACUAGAGUUGGACCAUCCCUGCUACAUUUUGGUUGUUAAAAAUCCCCAGCUAUUUUCCAAUAUAUGCCAUUUUAUAGAAUAUAUUUUUCCCAAGUAUUUUUUCCUUUCUGGGGAAACAAAAGCAUGUUUUAACAGCACACAAUCCAUAUGCUUCUGAUUUACUUGUACUCAAAUCUCAAAAGUGUUGCUUUAUAAGAGUUAUUUUAUUCCUCUUCAAACUGACUUGAAUAAAAAUUUCUUAACAUUU